rnacentral:snRNA from 1 species
AAAGUUGCUUAGCCAGCUUAGCUGCUGGCUAAGAUCAAGUGUAGUAUCUGUUCUUAUCAGUUUAAUAUCUAUUCUCCUUGAAAGUAGUCCUGCGGAGAAGAACUUGGGGUCCUGGUAGACAAGCUGGACAUGAGCCAGCAGUGUGUGCUGGCAGCCCGGAAGGCCAACUAUGUUCUGGGCUGCAUUAAAA